rnacentral:rRNA from 1 species
GAUGAACGCUGGCGGCGUGCUUAACACAUGCAAGUCGAGCGAAGCGAUUUAAAUGAGACUUCGGUGGAUUUUAAAUUGACUGAGCGGCGGACGGGUGAGUAACGCGUGGAUAACCUGCCUCACACAGGGGGAUAACAGUUAGAAAUGACUGCUAAUACCGCAUAAGCGCACGGUACCGCAUGGUACAGUGUGAAAAACUCCGGUGGUGUGAGAUGGAUCCGCGUCUGAUUAGGUAGUUGGUGAGGUAACGGCCCACCAAGCCGACGAUCAGUAGCCGACCUGAGAGGGUGACCGGCCACAUUGGGACUGAGACACGGCCCAAACUCCUACGGGAGGCAGCAGUGGGGAAUAUUGCACAAUGGGCGAAAGCCUGAUGCAGCAACGCCGCGUGAGUGAAGAAGUAUCUCGGUAUGUAAAGCUCUAUCAGCAGGGAAGAAAAUGACGGUACCUGACUAAGAAGCCCCGGCUAACUACGUGCCAGCAGCCGCGGUAAUACGUAGGGGGCAAGCGUUAUCCGGAUUUACUGGGUGUAAAGGGAGCGCAGACGGCACUGCAAGUCUGAAGUGAAAGCCCGGGGCUCAACCCCGGGACUGCUUUGGAAACUGUAGAGCUAGAGUGCUGGAGAGGCAAGCGGAAUUCCUAGUGUAGCGGUGAAAUGCGUAGAUAUUAGGAAGAACACCAGUGGCGAAGGCGGCUUGCUGGACAGUAACUGACGUUCAGGCUCGAAAGCGUGGGGAGCAAACAGGAUUAGAUACCCUGGUAGUCCACGCCGUAAACGA